AACGGCAGCCUUCCAAGCUGCAUAUGUCGGUUCGAUCCCGUCUACCCGCUCCA
rnacentral:tRNA from 1 species